rnacentral:rRNA from 1 species
UACGAAGGGGGCUAGCGUUGUUCGGAUUUACUGGGCGUAAAGCGCACGUAGGCGGAUCGUUAAGUCGGGGGUGAAAUCCUGGAGCUCAACUCCAGAACUGCCUUCGAUACUGGCGAUCUUGAGUCCGGAAGAGGUGAGUGGAACUCCUAGUGUAGAGGUGGAAUUCGUAGAUAUUAGGAAGAACACCAGUGGCGAAGGCGGCUCACCGGUCCGGUACUGACGCUGAGGUGCGAAAGCGUGGGGAGCAAACAGG